ensembl:snoRNA SNORD83 Small nucleolar RNA SNORD83
GCCACAUGAUGAGCUGAAUAGCUGCAGCAGCCCUCGGGCCAUGAUGACCUGCUAUCUAUCACCCUUUCCUGAUGGCU